rnacentral:misc_RNA from 1 species
CAAACCCAAACCCUGUAUCAACUGGGUUACGGUUAUCAUACGAUGAUGAUGAACGAAAUUCAUCUGUAACUUCUGCAAGUGGGAGUAUGACAGUAGCACCGUCAAUCAUCCUGUCCCUUGGUGACAAUAUUAGGACUGAGCUUGAUCGGCAGAAAGAAGAAUUUGAUCAGUAUAUUAAAAUUCAGGAAGAGCAUUUGGCAACGGGGGUGAGGGACAUGAAGCAGAGGCAUAUUGCUUCUUUCCUGGCUGCCAUAGAGAAGGGUGUAAGCAAGAAGCUGCGGGAAAAAGACCUAGAAAUAGACAACAUGAAUCGUAAAAACAAGGAAUUAAUUGAGAGAAUAAAGCAGGUGGCCAUGGAAGCUCAGAAUUGGCAUUACAGAGCAAAAUACAAUGAGUCAGUUGUGAAUGUUCUCAAGAGCAACCUCCAGCAGGCAAUUUCACAGGGUGCAGACCAAGGGAAGGAAGGAUUUGGAGACAGCGAGGUCGAUGAUGCUGCUUCUUACGUUGUCCCUAGCAGCUACCUGAACGUUACAGGUGGGCAUGCAAGACCUCUCACCAAAAAUUGUCAAGGUUUGAUUGAACACAUAACCUGCAGGGCAUGCAAAUCAAAGGAAGUGUGCAUGUUGUUGAUGCCUUGUAGGCAUUUAUGUUUAUGUAGAGACUGUGACAUGUUAAUCAAUGUUUGCCCUGUAUGCCAGUUGAUCAAAACUUCCAGCGUUCAAGUUUACUUGUCGUAAAAUCUUGUUGCUGUGAGAUAUACGUUGACAGUUUCUUCCAUGACAUGAGUUGUACGUGGAGUAAACUCUAUUUCACAAAAU